UUAAUCGAAGCCAAACAGAGGCAUUUUAAUGUUAAUAAAAGUAUUGAUAUAUUUAUAUGUUCCGAUUAAA
rnacentral:tRNA from 1 species